rnacentral:rRNA from 1 species
UACGGAGGAUCCGAGCGUUAUCCGGAUUUAUUGGGUUUAAAGGGUGCGCAGGCGGGAUGUUAAGUCGGCGGUGAAAUUUUGCAGCUCAACUGUAAAAGUGCCUUCGAUACUGGCUUUCUUGAGUGUGGAUGAAGUAGGCGGAAUUUGUGGUGUAGCGGUGAAAUGCUUAGAUAUCACGAGGAACUCCGAUUGCGCAGGCAGCUUACUAAACUACUACUGACGCUCAGGCACGAAGGCGUGGGGAGUCAAACAGGAUUAGAUACCCCGUA